UUUUUCCUUUAGCUUCUCAGAAAUAUUUUGUUCAUGACAUUUACCAUUGCUCUUACCAUAGUGCUUUGAAAUUUGUCUUCAGUUUCCUGUAAUUCUGUGAGUUCUGCAAGGACAGGGCUGGUGCCCUAUUCAUCUUGCAAGUCCCAGGCUGAGUGCAGUGCCAAGGACAUCGGGAGCCCUGUGAGUGCCAUUAGAAUGGAGGAAAGAGGAGAAGCAGAGAGCCCGUGUGCACCAGAGCCAGUUUCUCCCUCCUCAGUGGAAAUGAGAGUGCAGACCAAAGCGUGCGUGGACUCGGUUUGGAUAACAGGUGGAGUCAAGCCAGUGAGCAGAGAGUGCUGUUGGAACAGAACCUAUUCCAAUGGCAGAAGUCAGGAUAAACCUUUAUGCUCCAGUGAUGCUAUGUGGAAAUGCAUAAAAAUUUCUUGUCAUAUUACAUUCAGAAGAAAGCCAAUAUCAAAAUCCCAGAUAUGGUGGCAGAGAAUGGUGAUCGUGAGGAUAGUCAAAGCUUUUGGGAGGCUGGGACAGAUGAAUGCUAGGAGAACAGGCUGAAGAGGAGAAAAUCUCACCCUGGCAAAUGGAAUACAGAGGUGUGACUCUGAGCAGGCAGAAGGAAGAAAAUGUGAUGGUUCGCAUGCUUAGCUGUUUCUGUGCAAGCCUGCAGCCCUGCAGUUUUGUGCCACAGCCUCUGCUUACAUUUUGUGUCUUCACAACAGAACCUGCACAAUCUCCACUUCCCCAAAGGGCGGCCCUAUUGGCUGGGGAGGUGGAGUUGUCCACAGCCUGUAAGCACAAACUUCCUUGAAUUCCUGAUGCCUUAGACUUUUGAAUGGAGACGUCACUUUGUUCACUAAGCCCCAAAAUCAUCUUACUCAAGUUUUUGAUGAAGAUUAAGUUUCUGAAUGUCAAGGCUGAAAGCUGUGGCUACUUGUUGGAUCAUUCAGCGGUGUUGCUUUGGAAAGUGUGUCUGAGAUGAGAUCCAGUAAAUGGUGGGCAUUCUUUUCAGCAAUGGGCAUCUUUCCUUCUCUGGCAUUUGGAAUGAUUGUCUAAGUUUAAUACUUACCCAGAGUCGGGACAGGACACUGCUUCCCUCUUACCCCUACAUAUUUCUCCUAUAAAAGCCCCAAACAAGUUUUUAAAAAAUCAUGUUGAGUUUCUUUUUCCUCCCUAGGAUAUACAUUAUGGAAAGAAGUUUGUUAAACACCUUUUAAGUGUUAUUCACUUUUUACAAAGGAGAAAAAAGAUGUAAAAAGCAGUUAAGAAAUUUGCUCAAGAUUACAGAGGUGGCAUGUGUUAGAAUCUGAAGUCAAGUUCAGAUUGCUUGGAUUCCCAGUCUGGCUUUUAGCACUAUCCUGCCUCCACAUGACCUUGAGAAAUCGUGUUUCCCUCUCGGUGCCUUAUACUCCCCAUCUAUAAAAGGCAGAUUCAGACAAAUUACCUACAUACCUCAAAGGCAGGUUCUGAGGAUAAAAUAAAUGGGUAAAUCUGAAAACAUAUUUUUAAAUUUACAAGACGUGGGGAAGAAAAAGGAAGAACUUUCCCCCUUUGUUUCAUGGUUGUUGAUUUGUUUUGCUCCAAAUUCAUUUUUUUCAAUGUCGUUUAUUUUAUUUUGCUUAUUUUGUUUUCCUGGCCACAGUCUGUCACCAAGGCUGGAGUGAAAUGGCAUGAUCUUGGCUCACUGCAACCUCCGCCUACCUGGUGCAAGCGAUUCUCCUGCUUCAGCCUUCUGAGUAGCUGGUAGUACAGGUGAGCACGACCACCC
ensembl:lincRNA